CCUACGGGAGGCAGCAGUAGGGAAUCUUCGGCAAUGGGCGAAAGCCUGACCGAGCGACGCCGCGUGGGGGAAGAAGGCCCUUGGGUUGUAAACCCCUGUCCUCAGGGACGAUCAUGACGGUACCUGAGGAGGAAGCCCCGGCUAACUACGUGCCAGCAGCCGCGGAAU
rnacentral:rRNA from 1 species